rnacentral:rRNA from 1 species
AGGUGUGAUCAAUCCAACAUUAAAGCAUCGAUCUCAUUAGAACUCAGCAGUUAAGCGUGCUUGGACUAGAGUAGUACUGAGAUAUAAGGUCCUAGAAUAUGACUUU